rnacentral:rRNA from 1 species
UACAGAGGUCUCAAGCGUUGUUCGGAUUCAUUGGGCGUAAAGGGUGCGUAGGCGGCGCGGUAAGUCGGGUGUGAAAUCUUGGAGCUUAACUCCGAAACUGCAUUCGAUACUGCCGUGCUUGGGGACUGGAGAGGAGACUGGAAUUUACGGUGUAGCGGUGAAAUGCGUAGAUAUCGUAAGGAAGACCAGUGGCGAAGGCGGGUCUCUGGACAGUUCCUGACGCUGAAGCACGAAGGCCAGGGGAGCAAACGGG